rnacentral:rRNA from 1 species
GCUGUGAGGCAUGCUGGAGGUAUCAGAAGUGCGAAUGCUGACAUAAGUAACGAUAAAGCGGGUGAAAAGCCCGCUCGCCGGAAGACCAAGGGUUCCUGUCCAACGUUAAUCGGGGCAGGGUGAGUCGACCCCUAAGGCGAGGCCGAAAGGCGUAGUCGAUGGGAAACAGGUUAAUAUUCCUGUACUUGGUGUUACUGCGAAGGGGGGACGGAGAAGGCUAUGUUAGCCGGGCGACGGUUGUCCCGGUUUAAGCAUGUAGGCUGGUUAUCCAGGCAAAUCCGGAUAACCAAGGCUGAGGUGUGAUGACGAGGCACUACGGUGCUGAAGUAACAAAUGCCCUGCUUCCAGGAAAAGCCUCUAAGCAUCAGGUAACAUCAAAUCGUACCCCAAACCGACACAGGUGGUCAGGUAGAGAAUACCAAGGCGCUUGAGAGAACUCGGGUGAAGGAACUAGGCAAAAUGGUGCCGUAACUUCGGGAGAAGGCACGCUGGUGUGUAGGUGAAGUCCCUGCGGAUGGAGCUGAGACCAGUCGAAGAUACCAGCUGGCUGCAACUGUUUAUUAAAAACACAGCACUGUGCAAACACGAAAGUGGACGUAUACGGUGUGACGCCUGCCCGGUGCCGGAAGGUUAAUUGAUGGGGUUAUCCGUAAGGAGAAGCUCUUGAUCGAAGCCCCGGUAAACGGCGGCCGUAACUAUAACGGUCCUAAGGUAGCGAAAUUCCUUGUCGGGUAAGUUCCGACCUGCACGAAUGGCGUAAUGAUGGCCAGGCUGUCUCCACCCGAGACUCAGUGAAAUUGAACUCGCUGUGAAGAUGCAGUGUACCCGCGGCAAGACGGAAAGACCCCGUGAACCUUUACUAUAGCUUGACACUGAACAUUGAGCCUUGAUGUGUAGGAUAGGUGGGAGGCUUUGAAGCGUGGACGCCAGUCUGCGUGGAGCCAACCUUGAAAUACCACCCUUUAAUGUUUGAUGUUCUAACGUUGGCCCCUGACCGGGGUUGCGGACAGUGUCUGGUGGGUAGUUUGACUGGGGCGGUCUCCUCCCAAAGCGUAACGGAGGAGCACGAAGGUUAGCUAAUCCUGGUCGGACAUCAGGAGGUUAGUGCAAUGGCAUAAGCUAGCUUGACUGCGAGCGUGACGGCGCGAGCAGGUGCGAAAGCAGGUCAUAGUGAUCCGGUGGUUCUGAAUGGAAGGGCCAUCGCUCAACGGAUAAAAGGUACUCCGGGGAUAACAGGCUGAUACCGCCCAAGAGUUCAUAUCGACGGCGGUGUUUGGCACCUCGAUGUCGGCUCAUCACAUCCUGGGGCUGAAGUAGGUCCCAAGGGUAUGGCUGUUCGCCAUUUAAAGUGGUACGCGAGCUGGGUUUAGAACGUCGUGAGACAGUUCGGUCCCUAUCUGCCGUGGGCGCUGGAGAAUUGAGGGGGGCUGCUCCUAGUACGAGAGGACCGGAGUGGACGCAUCACUGGUGUUCGGGUUGUCAUGCCAAUGGCACUGCCCGGUAGCUAAAUGCGGAAGAGAUAAGUGCUGAAAGCAUCUAAGCACGAAACUUGCCCCG